rnacentral:rRNA from 2 species
CAGGUCAGGCGGGGUUACCCGCUGAAUUU